CGAAGGACUCGAGUUCGAUGUUCUAGUCCCUAAAGCCAGAG
rnacentral:sRNA from 1 species